rnacentral:ncRNA from 1 species
AAGAUGCUCAAUGAAACCCCCAUGUCCUCGAAGGGAGUGGUUUGACUACCGCUCCCGUAGACGGCACGGGGAG